rnacentral:rRNA from 1 species
UACGAAGGGGGCGAGCGUUGUUCGGAUUUACUGGGCGUAAAGGGCGCGUAGGCGGCCCCUCAAGUCAGGCGUGAAAGCCCCGGGCUCAACCUGGGAGGUGCGCUUGGGACUGAGGGGCUGGAGUUCGGGAGAGGAGCGUGGAAUUCCCAGUGUAGAGGUGAAAUUCGUAGAUAUUGGGAAGAACACCGGUGGCGAAGGCGGCGCUCUGGACCGAGACUGACGCUGAGGCGCGAAGGCGUGGGGAGCAAACAGG